GCAUAACUUUCUCCGACUUUCUAGGACGUGUUUUAUGCCACUUCUUUUUCUGUCUCAUUUUGUCCACCAAACUGUUAACGUUGUACAUGAGUGCACAAAGGUCUUCAGGCCUGCUUUGUGUUCUACCUGGGUGACCACCGUCUGCUGGCAGUGGGGACACUGGGCUUGUCCUGGGCUAUCUUGCAGCGAUGGCACUACCACCACGUAAUUUCUACGCCUACUCGCCACAA